CGGUGCACGCUGCCAGUCUGGCUCAUCCCUGUGCAUUCACCGCCCGGCAUAAGAGCUUGCUCUUUUGAAGUUAGCGGCGGACGGGUGAGUAACACGUGGGUAACCUGCCCAUAAGACUGGGAUAACUCCGGGAAACCGGGGCUAAUACCGGAUAACAUUUUGAACCGCAUGGUUCGAAAUUGAAAGGCGGCUUCGGCUGUCACUUAUGGAUGGACCCGCGUCGCAUUAGCUAGUUGGUGAGGUAACGGCUCACCAAGGCAACGAUGCGUAGCCGACCUGAGAGGGUGAUCGGCCACACUGGGACUGAGACACGGCCCAGACUCCUACGGGAGGCAGCAGUAGGGAAUCUUCCGCAAUGGACGAAAGUCUGACGGAGCAACGCCGCGUGAGUGAUGAAGGCUUUCGGGUCGUAAAACUCUGUUGUUAGGGAAGAACAAGUGCUAGUUGAAUAAGCUGGCACCUUGACGGUACCUAACCAGAAAGCCACGGCUAACUACGUGCCAGCAGCCGCGGUAAUACGUAGGUGGCAAGCGUUAUCCGGAAUUAUUGGGCGUAAAGCGCGCGCAGGUGGUUUCUUAAGUCUGAUGUGAAAGCCCACGGCUCAACCGUGGAGGGUCAUUGGGAAACUGGGAGACUUGAGUGCAGAAGAGGAAAGUGGAAUUCCAUGUGUAGCGGUGAAAUGCGUAGAGAUAUGGAGGAACACCAGUGGCGAAGGCGACUUUCUGGUCUGUACUGACACUGAGGCGCGAAGCGUGGGGGAGCAAACAGGAUUAGAUACCCUGGUAGUCCACGCCGUUAACGAUGAGUGCUAAGUUGUUAGAGGGUUUUCUACU
rnacentral:rRNA from 1 species